rnacentral:rRNA from 1 species
CCUACGGGUGGCAGCAGUGAGGAAUAUUGGUCAAUGGGCGAGAGCCUGAACCAGCCAAGUCGCGUGAGGGAGUAAUGCCCUAUGGGUUGUAAACCUCUUUUGUCGGGGAGCAACAGCAGGACGUGUCCGGAUGUGAGAGUACCCGACGACAAAGCAUCAGCUACCUCAGUGCGAGCAGCGGCGGUAAUACGGGGGAUGCGUGCGUUAUACGGAUUGAUGGGGUUUAAAGGGUGCGCAGGCGGAGUUUUCAGUCAGCGGUAAAAGCGUGGGGCUCAACCCCAUCCAGCCGUUGAAAGUGUGGAUCUAGAGUGUGCGAGAGGUAUGCGGAAUGCGUGGUGUAGCGGUGAAAUGCAUAGAUAUCACGCAGAACUCCGAUUGAGAAGGCAGCAUACCGGCGCUCAACUGACGCUCAGGCACGAAAGUGUGGGGAGCGAACAGGAUUAGAUACCCCAGUAGUC